UACGGAGGGAGCUAGCGUUGUUCGGAAUUACUGGGCGUAAAGGGCGCGUAGGCGGCCCGCUAAGUCGAACGUGAAAUCCCCGAGCUCAACUCGGGAACUGCGUCCGAUACUGGCGGGCUUGAAUCCGGGAGAGGGAUGCGGAAUUCCAGGUGUAGCGGUGAAAUGCGUAGAUAUCUGGAGGAACACCGGUGGCGAAGGCGGCAUCCUGGACCGGCAUUGACGCUGAGGCGCGAAAGCUAGGGGAGCAAACGGG
rnacentral:rRNA from 1 species